rnacentral:rRNA from 1 species
UAUGUAGGUCCCGAGCGUUGUCCGGAUUUAUUGGGCGUAAAGCGAGCGCAGGUGGUUUAUUAAGUCUGGUGUAAAUGGCAGUGGCUCAACCAUUGUAUGCAUUGGAAACUGGUAGACUUGAGUGCAGGAGAGGAGAGUGGAAUUCCAUGUGUAGCGGUGAAAUGCGUAGAUAUAUGGAGGAACACCGGUGGCGAAAGCGGCUCUCUGGCCUGUAACUGACACUGAGGCUCGAAAGCGUGGGGAGCAAACAGG